GCAAUAAGUAAUAUAUCAAAGUGACAAAACCUGAUAAAUUCAGUGCUAGAAUUAACACUGUUUUCCUGAAUUGUAGGUCAAUGAUGUCUCUAAUGCAGAUAGUAGGCAAAACAUUAAAAUAACUAAAUAAUUGUAAUUGAAAUGAUUCAGCAAACUAUUUGACAUGCCCAUAUAUGUCCUCAAUUUUAAUCAAAUAUAUAUUAGAUUUACUUCAUAAUAUCUAGGUUAAUUUAUUCCUUUAUGAUCAUUAUCUCUUCUUUGAGAAAUGAUCUCUAAUAAAGAUCCUCAUUUGGCCUCAGGAUAUGUGUACAGUAAGAAAAAAAAAUCUCAAGAGUUCUCCCUAUUAUAUUCAUAAUAAGUUUUUUACAUAUCCCCAAGCCUUUCACAUACUGGUCAGUCACACACAGCAAGCAAUAUGAAAGUUCAUGAAGUUUUGCAGUAUAACAUUGUUAUCCUUCCAAGCUAUUUCUAAGACUUCCUUGUGCUUUAUUGAAAACAUCAAGGAAAAUAAAUAUGUCUUUUUAGACCCAGAACUUGAAAUGACACUGGACUCAAGAGAUCAAGUUUAUGAAGACAAAAGUUAUGUGUUUGGGCUUCUAUUUAUCUGCAGAAGAGUUGUCAAGGUGAAAGGGAUUGUGUGAGAAUGGCCUUAGGCCUGAGCCUAAGCAACUCCUGUAAUGCCAGAUUCAUAGGACCCCAAUAGACCUGCAGGAGCUGAAUCUGAUGCAAUCACACAACAAUGUUUAUAGUAAGCUCAAGCCUGGACUCACAACCAUUUCAGAUGCAGUGGUCCCAAAGAGUGAGUCGUGACCCUUUGUCCAGUGAGGAUUAAUAAGAUUUUUGGGGAUACCAUAUUCAUCACAACAUCACACAGCCAAUCAUUUCACAUCACAGGAAAGUCAAACAACAACUCUUAACAUUGAUUAGCACAGUCAUUGGCAGGAACAAGUUGGGUAAGGGUGAUUGGUUAGUUCAAGUGGUGGAUGCAUUUGAACUGAUUGGUUUAGGCCAUGAGGGGUUGCAAGAGUGCAUAUGAUAAGCUUGCCUAAUCAUGUUACUAAUCACCAAAACUACUGGGGAGAUCACCUGGUAUUUCAGGUAUUUUCUCUGUCUCACACGUUUUGUGGUAGCUAGGGGGUUGCUAUGGGUCCUAACCUAGUGUAACUGAGUCAGGGUCACCUGGCAUGGAAGUUCUCUCCAGUUAUUUACAGACAAACAACUCAGCAGGGUGGGUAUGUGCCUAGGAGCACUAUGGUUUUUUCCAAGGACAAGGGAACUCCCCCAUUUGGACAGGCUUUGCUCUCAGGUAGAGGCUGAUUUCUCAAAGAUGGAGUCACAUUAGUUUCUCACUCCAUUUAAAAAACUCCAGUUUGAAACCUGAGGUCAUUAUUAGACGUCAUUUAUCACCAGGCACACCCACAGAGCCCUCUAGUAUGGCCUCAGACAAAUUACUUCCCCUCACCCUGAUAAACUGAGUAAAGCCUCUGACAGGCUUUCCUCUGCUGAUAAGAGUGAAAAGUGAGACUAUCAGGAUGGAGACCACCAGACCAGAUAUUUCUGACCUCAGGGUAAAUGAUGUCAUGGAGAAAUCUGGUGGCACCUGAUAAGAAUUACAAGGGGUGGUCAAAAAACCCCAAAAUUUAGUAUAAAAAAUAGAGUGAAUAAACAGGCAUUCAGCCAGCCUAAACAAGUAUGCACUCGAGCUGGAGAGCCUGAUGAGAACCUGCACUGACAUCCCAUCACUUGCUAUCAUUCUCCUGAUUUCUCUGUGUGAUCCUCACUGCUCUCAAACUCUACCACCUUGUCUGGAACUUUGUGAGAGAUGCAGCUUCUCCCUGUGACCCUCUCCUCAACUGGUCAUCCACUCCACACCAAAAAAGCCUGUUUUGUUUCAGGACCUGAUCACUGCUUUCUGAGUGAGUGUGCAUCUGCAGGACAUAAAGCCUAAGGCUUGAGACUUUUGAACUUAGCAUUCAGAGGAAAUGUCUGUCACUAGCCUGUCAUAAUUAAAUGUGUUUUUCAAUGCUCAGAAUUAAUCUAAAAUUAUUUUCUGUGAAUUAAUUAAUCUAGAAUUGCUUGCUGUUAAUUGAUUGUCUCUAUUGAAGUGCCUAUUAUUAAGGAUUGUCAUUUUCCUCAUUAAGAACCUAUAGAGUAAAAUGGUAUUAAGUAAUUUGAGUGAAUAAAGAAUUGAAAGCAGCAGAAGCAUGUGGACAUUCUUUAUUUGCCCCCUUCACUGCAUAUGUCACAAAUUUGCCCCCCUGGUGAUAGCUUGUUAUUAUUUUUAAAGUAUCAAAUUAAGGAAUUCUUAUCAC
rnacentral:lncRNA from 1 species